UACGAAGGGGGCUAGCGUUGUUCGGAGUUACUGGGCGUAAAGGGCGCGUAGGCGGCGCACCAAGUCAGGCGUGAAAGCCCUGGGCUCAACCCGGGAAUUGCGCUUGAGACUGGUGUGCUUGAGUACGGGAGAGGAUAGUGGAAUUCCCAGUGUAGAGGUGAAAUUCGUAGAUAUUGGGAAGAACACCGGUGGCGAAGGCGGCUAUCUGGACCGUAACUGACGCUGAGGCGCGAAAGCGUGGGGAGCAACAGG
rnacentral:rRNA from 1 species